rnacentral:rRNA from 1 species
GUGGAUUAGUGGCGAACGGGUGAGUAACACGUGGGCAAUCUGCCCUUCACUCUGGGACAAGCCCUGGAAACGGGGUCUAAUACCGGAUAACACCUGCCCGGGCAUCUGGGUGGGUUAAAAGCUCCGGCGGUGAAGGAUGAGCCCGCGGCCUAUCAGCUUGUUGGUGAGGUAGUGGCUCACCAAGGCGACGACGGGUAGCCGGCCUGAGAGGGCGACCGGCCACACUGGGACUGAGACACGGCCCAGACUCCUACGGGAGGCAGCAGUGGGGAAUAUUGCACAAUGGGCGAAAGCCUGAUGCAGCGACGCCGCGUGAGGGAUGACGGCCUUCGGGUUGUAAACCUCUUUCAGCAGGGAAGAAGCGAAAGUGACGGUACCUGCAGAAGAAGCGCCGGCUAACUACGUGCCAGCAGCCGCGGUAAUACGUAGGGCGCAAGCGUUGUCCGGAAUUAUUGGGCGUAAAGAGCUCGUAGGCGGCUUGUCACGUCGGGUGUGAAAGCCCGGGGCUUAACCCCGGGUCUGCAUUCGAUACGGGCUAGCUAGAGUGUGGUAGGGGAGAUCGGAAUUCCUGGUGUAGCGGUGAAAUGCGCAGAUAUCAGGAGGAACACCGGUGGCGAAGGCGGAUCUCUGGGCCAUUACUGACGCUGAGGAGCGAAAGCGUG